CUACAUCAUUGCUGCAUUGCUGCUACAUCAUUGCUUGAUGUAGCAAUGAUGUAGCAAUGAUGUAGCAGCAAUGUAGCAAUGAUGUUGCAGCAAUGAUGUAGCAGCAAUGCAGCAAUGAUGUAGC
rnacentral:pre_miRNA from 1 species